UACGUAGGGUGCGAGCGUUUUCCGGAAUUAUUGGGCGUAAAGAGCUCGUAGGCGGUCUGUCGCGUCUGCUGUGAAAUCCCGAGGCUCAACCUCGGGCUUGCAGUGGGUACGGGCAGGCUAGAGUGCGGUAGGGGAGAAUGGAACUCCUGGUGUAGCGGUGGAAUGCGCAGAUAUCAGGAAGAACACCGAUGGCGAAGGCAGUUCUCUGGGCCGUAACUGACGCUGAGGAGCGAAAGCGUGGGGAGCGAACAGG
rnacentral:rRNA from 1 species